UAAAAUUUGACCAAAAUCUGUACUAUAUUACAGGGACUUUCCCUCAGUAUUUGAUCAACUUUAAAAUUUGUAAAAAUCUAAUUUUAAGUAGAAUAAGCUCAAACUUUUCUAUUUGAAGAAAUUGCCCAUGCGCAAUGUUUUGAACUUCCUUCAACUACAGUCCCCACUGGUAAAUCCAAUGCACAGGCUGACAACUUAGAAUGUUUUGCAGAAAUGGCCUUUAAAAGAUGGAGAAUAACAAGUCACGCGUCUAUCACAUCCCAUUCUACUGGUGAUCAUUCUUCAUACGCAUAUCAGAAAAAUUAAUUGAAAUGGCAAAUCACCUCCUAACCAUUUUUGAUUUGGCCACACACACAUGCCCUGUAGUACAAUACUCACAAUAGUAAUUUUUACUGUGAGUGUGAGCCAGAUUAACCUACUGAUUGACUGAGAGGCCAAGAGAAGGCAAUGAAAUGGAAUAGUAAAUCAAGACACUCACCAACUUUCAAUUGUAGUUCAUGCCAAUAGUCAUUGGACCGACUUCCAUUUCCUUUUUAUGAUAUAAUAGUAAUAUACAUUACAUUCUGAUGUCCAUCAAGUAUUGUUCUAUUAUUAUGCCUAUGGCAAUCGACUAAUGAAAUUGCAGUAUUCUACGUAGCUACAUUAUUUUUUAUUAUACAUUCGUCUCAUUACUUAAAUGACAAUGUAAAUGUACCUUACUUUAAUUAAAAUACUGUUUAUAAUGUCUCUAUUAUUGUCUUAUGGUCUUUCUCUAUCUGUUCCUUCUCCUUUUUCUUGGUCUGUGGAAUUUUUGCUAUGCCUUGAAACUUUAUAAUCAAUGCACAAGAAGAUAUACAACAUUGUAAGUACAGUUAACCUUCAUUUAUGAUCAUGAUACAAAAUAGAAUGUUUAUGAAUUGAUUUAUAUAAUAUUAAAAGUAAAUAAAAAUGGAAAAGUAGCAGGAUUAAAUUGGAAAAAAGUAAAGAACAAAAGGGUACUUGCAAACUGGUGUGACAAGAAAUACUGCAUGAAUAUCUAUGGUUUUGCACAAGCUUACUUGACCACACCUCCUAAUUACCCCACCCAUCUCAUAAUUGCCACCAAAACUUGAAUUCUAGAUCUGUAAAGCUUCAUUUCCUGUUACAAAAAUUGGCAAUUUUUGUAAUAGGAAAUGAAGCUGCAGCAUGUUAUAAAAGCAGUAGCUGUACACAAAAACUCAUCACUGGUAGCCUACAGUAAAAGGAUUGUUCAGCAUUAGUUCUAUACAGCAAGUCAAGACAAGAUGGAUUCCUGCUCUUAUUUUAAGCUGAUAGGAUGCGUCAUUCUUAUUAGCAUUGCUACUGCACAGGAAACACAAAAAGCAUGUUGCCUUCCUCGUAAUUGUAAGGAAGCAUAUGAAAAUGGUAAAGUAUGCAGUGGAGUAUAUACUGUGAAACCUGAUGAACUACCAGCCUUUGACGUUUAUUGUGAUAUGAGUAAUAGAGGUGGCUGGA